rnacentral:rRNA from 1 species
GACGAACGCUGGCGGCGUGCCUAAUACAUGCAAGUUGAGCGCUGAAGGUUGGUACUUGUACCAACUGGAUGAGCAGCGAACGGGUGAGUAACGCGUGGGGAAUCUGCCUUUGAGCGGGGGACAACAUUUGGAAACGAAUGCUAAUACCGCAUAAAAACUUUAAACACAAGUUUUAAGUUUGAAAGAUGCAAUUGCAUCACUCAAAGAUGAUCCCGCGUUGUAUUAGCUAGUUGGUGAGGUAAAGGCUCACCAAGGCGAUGAUACAUAGCCGACCUGAGAGGGUGAUCGGCCACAUUGGGACUGAGACACGGCCCAAACUCCUACGGGAGGCAGCAGUAGGGAAUCUUCGGCAAUGGACGAAAGUCUGACCGAGCAACGCCGCGUGAGUGAAGAAGGGUUUCGGAUCGUAAAACUCUGUUGGUAGAGAAGAACGUUGGUGAGAGUGGAAAGCUCAUCAAGUGACGGUAACUACCCCGAAAGGGACGGCUAACUACGUG